rnacentral:rRNA from 1 species
AUUGAACGCUGGCGGCAGGCCUAACACAUGCAAGUCGAGCGGAUGAAGGGAGCUUGCUCCUGGAUUCAGCGGCGGACGGGUGAGUAAUGCCUAGGAAUCUGCCUGGUAGUGGGGGAUAACGUCCGGAAACGGGCGCUAAUACCGCAUACGUCCUGAGGGAGAAAGUGGGGGAUCUUCGGACCUCACGCUAUCAGAUGAGCCUAGGUCGGAUUAGCUAGUUGGUGGGGUAAAGGCCUACCAAGGCGACGAUCCGUAACUGGUCUGAGAGGAUGAUCAGUCACACUGGAACUGAAACGCGGUCCAGACUCCUACGGGAGGCAGCAGUGGGGAAUAUUGGACAAUGGGCGAAAGCCUGAUCCAGCCAUGCCGCGUGUGUGAAGAAGGUCUUCGGAUUGUAAAGCACUUUAAGUUGGGAGGAAGGGCAGUAAGUUAAUACCUUGCUGUUUUGACGUUACCAACAGAAUAAGCACCGGCUAACUUCGUG